rnacentral:rRNA from 1 species
AGAGUUUGAUCAUGGCUCAGAUUGAACGCUGGCGGCAGGCCUAACACAUGCAAGUCGAGCGGUAGCACAGAGAGCUUGCUCUCGGGUGACGAGCGGCGGACGGGUGAGUAAUGUCUGGGAAACUGCCUGAUGGAGGGGGAUAACUACUGGAAACGGUAGCUAAUACCGCAUAACGUCGCAAGACCAAAGUGGGGGACCUUCGGGCCUCAUGCCAUCAGAUGUGCCCAGAUGGGAUUAGCUAGUAGGUGGGGUAACGGCUCACCUAGGCGACGAUCCCUAGCUGGUCUGAGAGGAUGACCAGCCACACUGGAACUGAGACACGGUCCAGACUCCUACGGGAGGCAGCAGUGGGGAAUAUUGCACAAUGGGCGCAAGCCUGAUGCAGCCAUGCCGCGUGUGUGAAGAAGGCCUUCGGGUUGUAAAGCACUUUCAGCGGGGAGGAAGGCGGUAAGGUUAAUAACCUCAUCGAUUGACGUUACCCGCAGAAGAAGCACCGGCUAACUCCGUGCCAGCAGCCGCGGUAAUACGGAGGGUGCAAGCGUUAAUCGGAAUUACUGGGCGUAAAGCGCACGCAGGCGGUCUGUCAAGUCGGAUGUGAAAUCCCCGGGCUCAACCUGGGAACUGCAUUCGAAACUGGCAGGCUAGAGUCUUGUAGAGGGGGGUAGAAUUCCAGGUGUAGCGGUGAAAUGCGUAGAGAUCUGGAGGAAUACCGGUGGCGAAGGCGGCCCCCUGGACAAAGACUGACGCUCAGGUGCGAAAGCGUGGGGAGCAAACAGGAUUAGAUACCCUGGUAGUCCACGCCGUAAACGAUGUCGAUUUGGAGGUUGUGCCCUUGAGGCGUGGCUUCCGGAGCUAACGCGUUAAAUCGACCGCCUGGGGAGUACGGCCGCAAGGUUAAAACUCAAAUGAAUUGACGGGGGCCCGCACAAGCGGUGGAGCAUGUGGUUUAAUUCGAUGCAACGCGAAGAACCUUACCUGGUCUUGACAUCCACAGAACUUAGCAGAGAUGCUUUGGUGCCUUCGGGAACUGUGAGACAGGUGCUGCAUGGCUGUCGUCAGCUCGUGUUGUGAAAUGUUGGGUUAAGUCCCGCAACGAGCGCAACCCUUAUCCUUUGUUGCCAGCGGUUAGGCCGGGAACUCAAAGGAGACUGCCAGUGAUAAACUGGAGGAAGGUGGGGAUGACGUCAAGUCAUCAUGGCCCUUACGACCAGGGCUACACACGUGCUACAAUGGCAUAUACAAAGAGAAGCGACCUCGCGAGAGCAAGCGGACCUCAUAAAGUAUGUCGUAGUCCGGAUUGGAGUCUGCAACUCGACUCCAUGAAGUCGGAAUCGCUAGUAAUCGUAGAUCAGAAUGCUACGGUGAAUACGUUCCCGGGCCUUGUACACACCGCCCGUCACACCAUGGGAGUGGGUUGCAAAAGAAGUAGGUAGCUUAACCUUCGGGAGGGCGCUUACCACUUUGUGAUUCAUGACUGGGGUGAAGUCGUAACAAGGUAACCGUAGGGGAACCUGCGGUUGGAUCACCU